rnacentral:rRNA from 1 species
UAUGUGAUCGUCUCUCGCAUAUCAAUAAGCGGAGGAAAAGAAACUAACAAGGAUUCCCCUAGUAACGGCGAGUGAAGCGGGAGGAGCUCAAAUUUGAAAUCUUAAAGGGUUUCCCUUUACGAAUUGUAGUUUAAAGAAGUGUUUUCUGUUGAGGUUUUGGUAAAAGUUCUUUGGAAUAGGACAUCAUAGAGGGUGAGAAUCCCGUAUUUGACCUUUACUUUCAACUUUGUGAUACACUUUCAAAGAGUCGGAUUGUUUGGGAAUGCAGUCCAAAAUGGGUGGUAAAUUUCAUCUAAAGCUAAAUAUUGGCGAGAGACCGAUAGCGAACAAGUACCGUGAGGGAAAGAUGAAAAGAACUUUGAAAAGAGAGUUAAACAGUACGUGAAAUUGUCAAAAGGGAAGCGUUUGACACCAGUGUUGUUUUUCUGAAAAUCAAUUAAGGAACUGUUUAUGCUAAGUUGUUUAGACUUUAUCAGCUAACUGUUUAGUUUUGAGCUUUUCUUUAAUGCACUUUUCAGUUAACAAGUCAACAUCAAUUUCUUUUGCUGUAAAAAAGCUUGAGGAAGGUGGCUUGAGAUUCGUCUUAAGUGUUUAUAGCCUCUUGCCUAUGCAGUCGGAGAGAUUGAGGUCUGCAGCGUAGAUCCUUCGGGGCUAAAUGCAUUUGUGCUAAGUUAUAGCAUUUUAUAGGCAACUUGUUGACUAUGAUUUGUCUUGUAGCUUACUCGCUUAUGUUAUUUUACCUACGCUUAGGAUGUUGACACACGCGCGUGCUCG